rnacentral:rRNA from 1 species
UCCAGCCUACGGGACGCAGCAGUGAGGAAUAUUGGUCAAUGGCCGAGAGGCUGAACCAGCCAAGUCGCGUGAGGGAUGACGGCCCUACGGGUUGUAAACCUCUUUUGCCGGGGAGCAAAGAGCGGGACGCGUCCCGCCUCGAGAGUACCCGGAGAAAAAGCAUCGGCUAACUCCGUGCCAGCAGCCGCGGUAAUACGGAGGAUGCGAGCGUUAUCCGGAUUUAUUGGGUUUAAAGGGUGCGUAGGCGGAGCGUUAAGUCAGUGGUCAAAUUGAGGGGCUCAACCCCUUCCCGCCAUUGAAGCUGG